rnacentral:sRNA from 1 species
UUUUCUAUUCUCUCUUGGAGACAAAGCCCAUCAGUGGGAAAAGUCGCUUCCUCAAGGCUCUAUCACCUCCUGGAAUGACUGCAAGAAAGCCUUCUUAACUAUGUUUUUCUCAAACUCCAGGACUGCGAGACUAAGGAAUGAUAUUUUAGGUUUCACACAGACAAAUAAUGAGACCUUUUGUGAAGCAUGGGAGCGCUUCAAAGGUUAUCAGACGCAAUGUCCUCAUCAUGGUUUCUCCAAAGCUUCACUUCUCAGCACUCUCUACAGAGGUGUCCUUCCGAAGAUCAGGAUGCUUCUUGAUACCGCUUCUAACAGGAACUUCCUCAACAAAGACGUUGAAGAAGGAUGGGAGCUGGUAGAGAACUUGGCACAGUCGGAUGGCAACUACAAUGAAGAUUACGAUAGAAGCAUCCGCCACAGCUCUGAUUCUGAUGAGAAGCACCGCAGGGAAAUGAAAGCCAUGAAUGACAAACUGGACAAGCUACUCCUUGUGCAACAGAAGCACAUUCAUUUCCUGGGUGAUGAUGAGACGUUCCAAGUUCAGGAUGGGGAAACUCUACAGUCAGAAGAGGUCAGCUAUGUGCAAAACCAAGGAGGUUACAACAAAGGUUUCAACAACUUCAAGCAGAACCAUCCCAAUCUGUCUUACAAAAGUACAAAUGUUGCAAACCCGCAGGACCAAGUCUACCCUUCACAGCAGCAGAAUCAACCCAAGCCCUUUGUUCCAUACAACCAAGGUCAGGCGUAUGUUCCUAAGCAGCAGUAUCAGGGCAACUAUCCGCAGCAACUUCCACCACCUGGGUUCACACAGCAGCAACAACUACCAGUUUCAACAACUCCAGAUUCAGACUUGAAGAACAUGUUACAGCAGAUUCUCCAGGGACAAGCAGCAGGAGCAAUGGAUCUCGCAAAAAAGAUGGCAGAAAUCCACAAGAAGGUUGAUUGCACUUUCAACGAUCUGAACAUCAAACUUGAGGCACUUACUUGUAAGGUCAGAUACAUGGAAGGACAAUCUGCAUCGACCUCUACUCCCAAAGUAACAGGACUUCCAGGGAAGUCCAUACAGAACCCGAAGGAAUACGCCACCGCUCACGCUAUCACCAUCUGUCAUGAUCGAGAGCUACCUACUCGACAUGUCUCCAACUUAAUCACUGAGAACAGUGAUGUUCAGGAAGGGGAGGCUUCUACUCAAAUUGAAAUUUCAGUUGUUGGACUCGACAAUUCAGCAGGAUCCCGUUUUUAAACUCGGUCCAACCUUGACGAGAAAGCAGCCAUCAUUGAGAGGAUGGUAAAAAGAUUCAAGCCAGCACCAUUACCUUCACGUGCUCUUCCAUGGAAAUUCAGGAAAGCAUGGAUAGAAAGAUAAAAUUCUCUUGUAGAAAAGCAGCUUGAUGAGAUGGAAGCGGUGAUGCCUCUAAUAGAAGUUCUCAACCUGAUCUCGGAUCCUCACAAAGAUGUGAGAAAUUCAAUUCUGGAAAGGAUCAAGAUUUAUCAAGAUUCAAAAGACGAAUGUGAUGCUAAUCCGUCUAGGGCCACUGUUAAGAGGAGUGUUCACGAAAAACUGGAAGAUCCUGGAACUUUCACUUUACCAUGUUCCAUUGGUCAAUUGGUUUUCAACAAUUGUCUAUGUGAUUUGGGAGCUUCAGUAACCUUAAUGCCACUCUCCGUGGCAAGGAAGCUGGAAUUCACUCAGUACAGGCCUUGCGACCUGACUUUGAUCCUUGCUGAUAGGUCUUCAAGAAAACCCUUCGGCUUGCUAAAAGAUCUGCCAGUAAUGAUUUAUGGAGUGGAAGUACCUAUAGAUUUCGUUGUGCUUGAGAUGGAAGUAGAACCUAAGGAUCCUCUAAUCCUAGGGAGACCUUUCUUAGCGUCAGUGGGAGCAAUGAUAGAUGUCAAAGACGGGAGAAUAAGUCUUAACCUUGGGAAGCACAUCAAGCUACAGUUUGAUAUCAACGAAACUUCGCAAAGGACAGCUGUAAGAGAAAAGAUCAGGGCUCAACCUCAACCUUCGAAUUCAAUCACCAGACCAAGCACAACCUCUACACCUGACUUGUGAGAUCUCAAAAAGAAAUCUGAUGAGCAAGAAGAAACCAUAGAGAAGCUAGCUCAGACAGUUGAGGAACUUAAGAGUAAACUGGAUCAGAUGCAAGAGAAAGCUCAAUCAAAAUGCGGGAUUGAUACUAUCCCGAGAAAAAAGUUUACUUCAAGAUGGUCUGAGGAGUUAGAUUAUCCACCAGAAGAGAAAGAGGCCUAUUUCGAGGAAAGAAGAAUUGAGUAUUCUGCUACUCAUCUCUCAAGAGAGGAUGCUGAAUAUGAUGAUGAGAUCAGAGAGGACUAUGCAGAUCCUCUCUAUCACCCAUUUUCUUCUUAAUGAGUGUGAGGAGUCAAGUUAGAGACUUUAAACAAGCUCACUUAGGAGGAAUUCCCAAGACUGUUCCUGUAAAUAAAAAAAUUAUUUCCUUGUUAUUUUUUAUUUGCUUUUGGUUGUAUUUGUGAUCCUCAGGAACAGAGAAACAGCGUGGAGGUAGAGUAAAAAUUCAAAAAUAUUACUCUACAGAGCAACAGGGGAUCGAGUAUGUCAGAAAUUCAAGAAUUUGAAAAACUUCUAUUGCACUCAGAGGCCAUGAGAUCGAGUAGGUUUGUCGAGUAUUAGUGAUGAUUUUAAAAACCAAAAAUUUGAAAUUAUACUUAUACUCGACCAACAGAAGCUACAAAGACUUACAGGGAGUUUAUCAAGUUUACAGAGGAUUCAGAAGGUUCUAGUAAAAAGGUAACAACGCUUCAGGACAAACAGACAGAGCGUGGCCCACCACCUCUUCAUUUUUUUUUCCCCACGCGUUUCUAAGGAUGAGGAAAUCCCCUCCCUCCUUCCCAACCACUCGAUCCUAAUCCCCUUUCCUUUCCCAUCGACACCAUCUCUCUUCCUCUCCAAACACUCGACCUCUCCACUACACUCGACCUCACCGCUCACUCGAUCUCACUGCUCCGGCUUCACCAUCUCUCACCGCUUUGUCUCCCUUCUCACUCGACCACAACACAGCCCUCGCCGCUCACGCCACCGCCCUCUUUCUCUUUCACUCGACGACAGGACCGGUUUUAUCAUCUCUCACCGCUCUCGUCUCCUCUUCACUCGACCGUAGGAGCACCUCGAACUCUCCUUACUCGACCAUGCAACAAUUCUGACUAAGAACUCUUCACUUGAUUUCCAACAAACCGCCAGAGCUUCUCUCUCUCCUUCUCACUCGACCAUAACUCGACCUCUCCCUCCUCACCGUUCAAGCCUCCUCCAAUCCACUCGACCGCUCAUCUCUCCACGCCUCUCAAUCGGUCAACCGGAGUUCACCUACUCUCAUCACCUCCAUUUACUCGACCACAUCGUUGCCGUCUCUCAUUCGCUUUCUCUCGACCGCAAAACCGCAAAACUCGAAGCCACAAUUUCAAUGUACUCGACUAGUUUACUCGACUGGUAUACUCGGCCGGUUUAGUAUUUGCGCUUAUUGAAACUAACAUAUUGACGUUUAGUUUGAGUUGUAUUUUUUUCAGGAAAUCAAUAUGAGUAACUACAGUGGCGAGUCCUCUAUGGAUGCGGAUUACAACGUCGAGGAAGCUGAGUCUUGGUCAACUAGACCGGAGAGAGAGCAACAAGCUUAUGAGAGUUUCAGAGCUGACACCCAACGCUCAGUAGCUCGACGCAAUGAAAGGAGGGCUGAGAUUGCUAGAGGAAAAAGUGCAAUGACCAGUAGAUAUGCAUUGAUCGACGAAGAUAUUGACGUCGAGUAUGAGCCUGAGUCAUGGCCCAGAGAGACGAAGCUGUUGAACAGGCCUGAUGAAGUUACAGUGGAGGAGUACAUCAGAAUUUUCGAUCUGAACGACUUCUGGGGAAUGAGGUACCCCUGUUAUCAGACUUUAGCCCAGCUGGGGCUACUGGAGGACGUACAACACUUAUUUGAGAAGUGUCAUCUGGAGACAUUAAUGUCUUACCCGUACGUCACCUACAAGAAGGAAACAAUAGAGUUUCUCUCCACUCUGCAAGUGUAGAUGUAUCAGGGACUUACAGUAGAUGAGCUGGAGAGUGAAGGGUUGGGGUUCUUGACUUUUUCAGUGAGCGAGCAGCAUUACCAGCUAUCUAUCAGGAGCUUGGAAGGAUUGUUUGGUUUCCCCAGUGGAAAGGGAACUAAACCCAAGUUCGAGAGGGAAGAGUUGAAGGAUUUGUGGUUAACUAUUGGGAACGAUAUGGCGCUCAACUCUGCGAGGUCCAAGAGCAACCAGAUUCGAAGCCCUGUGAUCCGUUACUAUCAACGCUCUUUAGCAAAUAUUCUGUACUCUAGCGAAUCUACAGGCACCGUAUCUAACACAGACAUGGAGAUGAUUGAUUCUGCACUCAAGGGCAUUCUCCGCAGCACAAAGGGAAAGAAGGGCCUGAAGGGCGACCUCAAUGAUGCACCACCAGUUAUGCUUCUGUUGAUCCACCUGGGUAGAUAUAGGAAGUGGGCGCACACCAACGGGAAGAACAGGUCGCCAGGAGCCCUUUGUUUGGUGUACCUUUCACGUCUCCAGGGUUCGAUCCGAGGAUGAUAGACUUAGAUCACUUGCGUCGUUGUGAGUUUCUGGAGCACGACAUGGUCGGCGAUUUCUAUCGCUACAAAUUCGAGCACUCCUUUACCCGAACAGCCAACAUUCUGCUUCCCUGCACUAAGGCCACAACCAUAUUCCAGGGCGAAAACAUUAACAUCAAGCCUGCGCGUGAUUACCUUUACUUUGAGAGCGCUCCACCGACUGAUGACAAUGUCCCUACAACAGAAGCUAAAGAGGAUGAGAUUGCUGAGACAGAUGAGGAUAGGGAGGAGGAGGACGAUACGAGCAUGUAUCAUUUCAGUGAGCAUGUACCCCCAGCGAGGGAGAGCAAGAGCUUGAGCGAAGCUCACAGAAACAACAACAAGUUGCAGAAGUGGUGCAAGAAACAAGAUAGGCUACUCAUCAAGUGCUUCAAGGCCAUCAAGUUUCUGACAGACAAGCUAAGUUGCUCCUCUUCUACCACAGCUAUUCCGCAGGGAGAGCCUCCUCAGGACAUGCCCUCGAGGGGAUAUGACGCGCCAGACCCAAGUCGCCACAGGCCUGAGCCAAGUCACCACAGGCCUGAGCCUAGUAACCGAGUAGUCUCACAGGUCCUUACGAGGCAUUCAUCAUUCGAGCCUCGGGAGCUCGGGAGAAUGAACAAGGCUACACUGGCUCGGUCUGGCAGCAGGAAUACACGACUUCUCCAGUCCCAUAGCUUACGCGACCGCGGUGCUGACUGCAGCAGAAAUAGAGAGGUCGAGUAUCAUCAGAGCGGUGCUGACCGCGACGAAGGAGCAGAGGUCGAGUACCCCCAGGGGGGAAGCUGAGACACAACAGGGAGAUUCUUCGAUGGCCUAGGAGCAAUCACAGGCAGCUAUUGACGACCAACUCCGCUCCUUUUUCCACUGAGGUA